rnacentral:rRNA from 1 species
CCUACGGGAGGCAGCAGUAGGGAAUCUUCCACAAUGGGCGAAAGCCUGAUGCAGCAACGCCGCGUGGGUGAAGAAGGUCCUCGGAUUGUAAAACUCUGUUGUUAGAGAAGUAAGCGCGUGAGAGUAACUGUUCAUGUUUCGACGGUAUCUAACCAGAAAGCCACGGCUAACUACGUGCAAGCAGCUGCGGCAAUACGUAGGUGGCAAGCGUUAUUCGGAUUUAUUGGGCGUAAAGGGAACGCAGGCGGUCUUUUAAGUCUGAUGUGAAAGGCUUCGGCUUAACCGGAGUAGUGCAUUGGAAACUGGGGGGCGUGAAUGCAGAAGAGGAAGGUGGAACUCCAGGUGUAGCGGUGAAAUGCGUAGAUAUAUGGAAGAACACCGGUGGCGAAAGCGGCUCACUGGUCUGUUACUGACGCUGAGGUUCGAAAGCGUGGGUAGCAAACAGGAUUAGAUACCCCAGUAGUC